rnacentral:rRNA from 1 species
AUCAUGGCUCAGGAUGAACGCUGGCGGUAUGCUUAACACAUGCAAGUCGAACGAAAUCUUCGGAUUUAGUGGCGGACGGGUGAGUAACGCGUGAGAAUCUGCCAUCAGGCCUGGGACAACCACUGGAAACGGUGGCUAAUACUGGAUGUGCCGAAAGGUGAAAGGUUAACUGCCUGUUGAUGAGCUCGCGUCUGAUUAGCUAGUCGGUGUGGUAAAGGCGCACCUAGGCGACGAUCAGUAGCGGGUCUGAGAGGACGAUCAGCCACACUGGGACUGAGACACGGCCCAGACUCCUACGGGAGGCAGCAGUGGGGAAUUUUCCGCAAUGGGCGAAAGCCUGACGGAGCAAUACCGCGUGAGGGAGGAAGGCUCUUGGGUCGUAAGCCUCUUUUCUCAGGGAAGAACAAAAUGACGGUACCUGAGGAAUAAGCAUCGGCUAACUCCGUGCCAGCAGCCGCGGUAAUACGGAGGAUGCAAGCGUUAUCCGGAAUGAUUGGGCGUAAAGCGUCCGCAGGUGG